CCAUCGGUGGUUCAGUGGUAGAAGGCUCGCCUGCCUCGCGGUCAACCCGGGUUCGAUUCAAGGCCGAUGCA